rnacentral:lncRNA from 1 species
UGACUAUGCUCUUAGUACUAAUCAAGUCAAAACCUUCCCAAAAAGACGAUGAUUUUGCCCUGAAGAAAGCUGUCAACCAAUCCAUCAUCAGGCAACCUCAUGCAUCUAUUCGGGAACGACUACUUAGACUUCGCCACAAUCAACGCCAAUAAAACUCACAAGCAAUCGACGAUUUAACCUUUAGAAAGUCAUCACUCUCUAUCCAUCAUUGGGCAUCGUUAAUCCAAAUCUUAUUAUCAAAAAAAUAAAAUAAAGAAGCUACAAACUACAAAUCAAAAACUAAAAUAGACCAAUCCAACACAAAAUCAGCAGAAACACCCACAAUAUCAAAAGCCCAACAAGGGCACACCAAUCCAUAACAGAGAAAGAAAAGUACCCCCGACAAGGGCAGAAUCGCAGUAUGCAGAAAAAAAUCAACAAAAUGAGUACAAGGGAGCACCCCCAACUUAAAAUGAGACUAUGUCCUCACAGUCCAAAUAUCAAAAGAGAAUACGAGGGACUACCAAAGCAAAAGAACAUUUGCACGUUUACUAUAAUCAACAGGGAAAAGAUUGAGAAGGCAAAUGUCAUAAGGAAGUAGUUUGAUACGAAAAAAUGAUCUUAAAAAAUUGUCAUUGAGCAUAAGAUGAAACUAACCAAAACUUACUAUAAUGUUGCAGCACAGGGUAGUCUCAGGAACAUGCUUAAAGUGUGCUAAGGAACCAGUCAGAAAACUCAGCAUCGAUCCUGCACCUAUAGCCUACAAAUUGAUCAACAUUUAAACAGUAGGUUUCAAGUAAGAGCUUACCGACAACCAUAAAGCCUUAGUUCAAAUAACCAAAAAAAAUACUUGUUUGAAUACCAGAGAGAAGUGCAAAGGCCUCCCGUCCUCACUCGUGGAUGGGAAGAUACUAUUCAUCAAUUUUUUAUGCGUUCU